rnacentral:rRNA from 1 species
GACGAACGCUGGCGGCGUGCUUAACACAUGCAAGUCGAACGGACAGACCCUGCUUUUGUGGGGUGCUCGAGUGGCGAACGGGUGAGUAAAACGUGAGUAACCUGCCCUUGUCUUUGGGAUAACUUCAGGAAACAGGGGCUAAUACCGGAUAGGAGCUCCUGCUGCAUGGUGGGGGAUGGAAAGUUUCGGCGGUUGGGGCUGGACUCGCGGCUUAUCAGCUUGUUGGUGGGGUAGUGGCUUACCAAGGCUUUGACGGGUAGCCGGCCUGAGAGGGUGACCGGCCACAUUGGGACUGAGAUACGGACCAGACUCCUACGGGAGGCAGCAGUGGGGAAUAUUGCACAAUGGGCGGAAGCCUGAUGCAGCAGCGCCGCGUGCGGGAUGACGGCCUUCGGGUGGUAAACCGCUGUGGCCUGUGAUGAAGCGUGAGUGACGGUAAUGGGUAAAGAAGCAACGGCUAACUACGUG